rnacentral:rRNA from 1 species
AAUGCGUUUUGAGAUGGUCCUGCGUCCUAUCAGCUAGUUGGCAGGGUAACGGCCUACCAAGGCUAUGACGGGUAUCCGGCCUUAAAGGGUGAACGGACACACUGGAACUGAGACACGGUCCAGACUCCUAUGGGAGGCAGCAGUGGGGAAUUUUGGACAAUGGGGGAAACCCUGAUCCAGCGACGCCGCGUGGAGGAUGAAGGCCUUCGGGUUGUAAACUCCUUUUAGAGGGGAAGAAAUAAAUGACGUUACCCUCAGAAAAAGCCACGGCUAACUACGUGCCAGCAGCCGCGGUAAUACGUAGGUGGCGAGCGUUACUCGGAAUUACUAGGCGUAAAGCGUAUGUAGGCUGUCGUAUAAGUCUUAGUAAAAUUUUCCGGCUCAACCGGGAAAAGCCUAAAGAUACUGUUCGACUUGAGUGUGGGAGAGGGAGACGGAAUUCCUGGUGUAGCGGUGAAAUGCGUAGAUAUCAGGAGGAACACCGAUGGCGAAAGCAGUCUUCUGGACCAAUACUGACGCUGAUGUACGAAAGCUAGGGUAGCAAACAGGAUUAGAUACCCUGGUAGUCCUAGCUGUAAACUAUGUUCACUAGAUGUGGGAGGUAUCGACCCCUUCCGCGUCGACGUUAACGCAUUAAGUGAACCGCCUGGGGAGUACGGCCGCAAGGUUGAAACUCAAAGGAAUUGACGGGGGCCCGCACAAGCGGUGGAGUAUGUGGUUUAAUUCGACGCAACGCGAAAAACCUUACCUGGGCUUGAACUGCUGAUGGUAAAAACCGGAAACGGCGAUGACCCGCAAGGGAGUCAGCAGAGGUGUUGCAUGGCUGUCGUCAGCUCGUGUCGUGGGAUGUUGGGUUAAGUCCCGCAACGAGCGCAACCCUUAUCCUAUGUUACCUGUAGCGAUACAGGGUCUCUGAGGAAACUGCCAUUGAUAAAAUGGAGGAAGGUGGGGACGACGUCAAGUCAUCAUGUCCUUUAUGUCCAGGGCUACACACGUACUACAAUGGCCGGUACAGAGGGCAGCAAUAUCGUAAGGUGGAGCAAAUCCCUGAAAGCCGGCCCCAGUUCAGAUUGUGGGCUGCAAUUCGCCCACAUGAAGUAGGAAUC